rnacentral:rRNA from 1 species
UACGUAGGUGGCAAGCGUUGUCCGGAAUCACUGGGCGUAAAGGGCGCGUAGGCGGUUACUUAAGUCAGGUGUGAAAACUUUCGGAUUAACCGGGAGAUGGCACAUGAAACUGAGUAACUUGAGUGCAGGAGAGGGCAGUGGAAUUCCUAGUGUAGCGGUGAAAUGCGUAGAUAUUAGGAGGAACACCAGUGGCGAAGGCGACUGCCUGGACUGUAACUGACGCUGAGGCGCGAAAGCGUGGGUAGCGAACAGGAUUAGAUACCCUGGUA